UGGCUCGGGUUCCUACACAGUGCGCACACACAAAAAGGACAUAGUACAUGAGCUAGGGACGGGAUUUAGGAUAUUUUUUUAAAGUUAAACAACUGUUUUGAACUGUUCUUUUUUUUUAAAACGAUCUAAAAGGAUAGAGUUGUCUAUUAUUUAGUUAGAGAUGAGUCGAUAUGCUUGACCUUAGGUUUUAAUCCGAUGACAGCUAGAAGAGGGGAUAGCGUGGAUAAUCCUCAGAUCUUAAUUCAACCGCUCAAAAAUAUCAAGUGAGAUUUAAUGCAAUUUGCUUAAAAAUCAAACAACUAAGAAAUAGAAACACUCUUAUUUAUUUGGUUUUGCUAUGUCUAAAUCACCUUAUUUUUAGUUAGGGAUCUGAUUGUGUUUUAAGAUUCGGAAUGAGCAAAAGAGAGAGAGAGGAGUGGAGAUGGUG
rnacentral:lncRNA from 1 species